GACGAACGCUGGCGGCGUGCUUAACACAUGCAAGUCGAACGAAGUGGCGAACGGGUGAGUAACGCGUAAUCAACCUGCCCUUCAGAGGGGGACAACAGUUGGACACGACUGCUAAUACCGCAUACUGACGGAGGGGAUUGCGUCUGAUGAGCUAGGUGGAGGGGUAACGGCCCACCAAGGCGAUGAUCAGUAGCCGGGCUGAGAGGAUGAACGGCCACAUUGGGACUGAGACACGGCCCGGACGCCUACUGGAGGCAGCGGUGGGGAAGCUUCCGCAAUGGACGAAAGUCUGACGGAGCAACGCCGCGGUAAUAC
rnacentral:rRNA from 1 species